GCAGUAGCUGCGCUAGGGGUCGGCGAGGUUUUAGUAGCGAUAAAACCACUUUUAAUAGAGAUGUAAAUAAUUGCGAAUUAGAAAAAUCAGAUCAAAUUUGACAAUAAUGAUAGUGAACGUGAAAACAUUCCGAGUUGUUCGGGAAUUGAAAAGUAAGUUUUUAAGUACUUAAUAUUAAUACAUUAUUUUCUAAUCUAAAUAUGGGUACUUGUUUCCUGCUGGGACAAAAGCUAAAGAUUUUCAUUUAGGGGAAAAAGAAGUACUUGAUUUGGCUCUAUAUCUACAUGAACUUUCAAAACAGGCGGUGUAAGCAAGUUUUCCUAAAAAACAGUAUACUAGAAUCAUCAGUAUAUUCCUGAUGUUUCUAGCAUCACAAAAUUCCAAGAAGAACUACGUAUCUUGCGGCUACCUGCAGAGCCCACCUACAAAACUGCCUACAAAAACCAAAUCAGAAUCAACACUGACUCAAUCAAUUCUUUUAAUAAAGAUUCGCUAGAGCGAUAAUUAAAUUUCUUAAUAACAAAAAUGCAUAAUUUCAUAGACACAUCUAAAACAAGAUCGCGCUUUCCGAGUUAUCAUUCGCAACAUGCAACGACAACGCCAGUCAAAUAUAUCAAAACUGGAUUAGAGGAACUAGAGCAACCAAAUCACUUAAGCAGCCUAAGACCCAUUCGUGAUCUAUAAGAACUACGAAUGGAUGGACCAGAAGCGACCAGUGUUUCUAUUCUUGACUUUGAGAGAAGGGAGUAUCCCCGGGAGCAUCACAGGAAGUCGCUCCUCGCUCACGAUCCCUAGCGUAUAAAAAUAGUAUUCUUGAAUGAUAAGGAAUGCCAGUGAACACGCAGUCCCUGCAAGCACUGUUGCCAGCUUAUCUGACCAAUCAAAAUUGCGAAAAUAUUGACGGUCUGACAUGCUCGCCAACGUCAUUUAUUUACUAUUGUGGCGGAACUCGUACCAACUUUUUGUUUUAAAAGAGACAGACAUUUAAGAAUCAUGUAUUUGUCUUUAUCUAAGCUAAGAAACGGUCGUUUAUUCCCUCGUUUUCUGCUGUUUUUGUUUUUUUAAGCAUGGUUCAUUGCUUCUGUGCCCUAUUGAGGUAAGGUAAUGUACUAGUAAAAUGAAUACAGUUUUAUGAAGAAAGUAACAGGGUAAUUUCAUUUAUGUAGCCGCUUUCCUUCAGCACUUUAUAAUGAAUCGUAAAAUGAGUCUGUGUUCCUUAAAGAGACUGAAGUAAAUGUACCUUUUAGGAAAAAUGGAAUAGCACAAUAGCCAUUGCAAAUUGUGACAAAUCAAGGCUGCUAUCGCUCAAGCAAAAGGAAUCGCUGAUAGAAUUUGUCCACAGCAGGUCCCAAAUGACAAGGCUUAUUCUCGUGUAGAAUCCUUAACGAAUGUAUAUUUAAUGAACAAUAAAACACCAUCUCCACCAACAAUGUA